UACGUAGGGGGCAAGCGUUAUCCGGAUUUACUGGGUGUAAAGGGAGCGUAGACGGUUAUGCAAGUCUGAAGUGAAAGCCCAAGGCUCAACCAUGGGACUGCUUUGGAAACUGUAAAACUGGAGUGCAGGAGAGGUAAGCGGAAUUCCUAGUGUAGCGGUGAAAUGCGUAGAUAUUAGGAGGAACACCAGUGGCGAAGGCGGCUUACUGGACUGUAACUGACGUUGAGGCUCGAAGGCGUGGGGAGCAAACAGG
rnacentral:rRNA from 1 species